GGAAAGAAACUAAUGAAUAUUCUGUCUGAAACCCAUUUUUAACUGAAGGUUGCAUUUUUCUCUGUGUGUGUAUUAAUCUGAUUAGCUCCUUGGGAAUGUUGGUGAUGACACUCUGUCUGUGGGAGAAGGACAGUAUACAGUAUAUAUAGAGAGGUGAUUCCUUUGUCUAGUUAGAUCUCUUCUGAGUUCUCCAUCUGUGCAGAUGUGAAAUAAAGCUGUGUUUUGUUCUUUCUCUUUAA